rnacentral:rRNA from 1 species
GUAGGGUGCGAGCGUUAAUCGGAAUUACUGGGCGUAAAGCGUGCGCAGGCGGUUUUGUAAGACAGGUGUGAAAUCCCCGGGCUUAACCUGGGAACUGCGCUUGUGACUGCAAGACUCGAGUACGGCAGAGGGGGGUAGAAUUCCACGUGUAGCAGUGAAAUGCGUAGAGAUGUGGAGGAAUACCGAUGGCGAAGGCAGCCCCCUGGGUCGAUACUGACGCUCAUGCACGAAAGCGUGGGGAGCAAACAGGAUUAGAUACCCUGGUAGUCCACGCCCUAAACGAUGCCAACUAGGUGUUGGGGAAGGAGACUUCCUUAGUACCGUAGCUAACGCGUGAAGUUGGCCGCCUGGGGAGUACGGUCGCAAGAUUAAA